GCCUGGCAUGGUGGUGCACACCUGUAAUCCCAGCGGCUUGGGAGGCUGAGGCAGGAGGAUCGCAAGUUCAAAGUCAGCCUCAGCAAAAAAGAGGCACUAAGUAACUCAGUGAGAUCCUGUCUCUA
rnacentral:sRNA from 1 species